UUGUUCCAAGUUAGGCAAAAGAUGUAAACUUACAGAUUCAGGAAGCUGAGCAAACUCCAAACAGGAUGAACCCAAAGAAAUUCACACCAAAACACAUCAUAAUUAAAAUUUUGAAAACUAAAGA